AACGAACGCUGGCGGCAUGCCUAACACAUGCAAGUCGAACGAGACCUUCGGGUCUAGUGGCGCACGGGUGCGUAACGCGUGGGAACCUGCCCUUAGGUUCGGAAUAACUCCCCGAAAGGGGUGCUAAUACCGGAUAAUGUCUUCGGACCAAAGAUUUAUCGCCUUUGGAUGGGCCCGCGUUGGAUUAGCUAGUUGGUAGGGUAAAAGCCUACCAAGGCGACGAUCCAUAGCUGGUCUGAGAGGAUGAUCAGCCACACUGGGACUGAGACACGGCCCAGACUCGUACGGGAGGCAGCAGUGGGGAAUAUUGGACAAGGGGCGAAAGCCUGAUACAGCAAGGCCGGGUGAGUGAUGAAGGCCUUAGGGUUGUAAAGCUCUUUUACCCGGGAUGAGAAUGACAGUACCGGGUGAAUAAGCACCGGCUAACUACGUG
rnacentral:rRNA from 1 species